CCUACGGGAGGCAGCAGUAGGGAAUAUUGCUCAAUGGGCGAAACCCUGAAGCAGCAACGCCGCGUGGAGGAUGAAGGUCUUCGGAUUGUAAACUCCUUUUGUUAGAGAAGAUAAUGACGGUAUCUAACGAAUAAGCACCGGCUAACUCCGUGCCAGCAGCCGCGGUAAUACGGAGGGUGCAAGCGUUACUCGGAAUCACUGGGCGUAAAGAGCGCGUAGGCGGGAUAGCAAGUCAGAUGUGAAAUCCUAUGGCUUAACCAUAGAACUGCAUUGGAAACUGUUAGUCUAGAGUGUAGGAGAGGUAGGUGGAAUUCUUGGUGUAGGGGUAAAAUCCGUAGAGAUCAAGAGGAAUACUCAUGGCGAAGGCGACCUGCUGGAACGUAACUGACGCUGAUGCGCGAAAGCGUGGGGAGCAAACAGGAUUAGAUACCCGGGUAGUC
rnacentral:rRNA from 1 species